AAAACGACUCUCGGCAACGGAUAUCUCGGCUCUCGCAUCGAUGAAGAACGCAGCGAAAUGCGAUACUUGGUGUGAAUUGCAGAAUCCCGCGAACCAUCGAGUCUUUGAACGCAAGUUGCGCCCGAAGCCUUUCGGCCGAGGGCACGUCUGCCUGGGUGUCACGCAAC
rnacentral:rRNA from 1 species